GAUGAACGCUGGCGGCGUGCCUAAUACAUGCAAGUCGAGCGAACGGACGAGAAGCUUGCUUCUCUGAUGUUAGCGGCGGACGGGUGAGUAACACGUGGAUAACCUACCUAUAAGACUGGGAUAACUUCGGGAAACCGUAGCUAAUACCGGAUAAUAUUUUGAACCGCAUGGUUCAAAAGUGAAAGACGGUCUUGUUGUCACUUAUAGAUGGAUCCGCGCUGCAUUAGCUAGUUGGUAAGGUAACGGCUUACCAAGGCAACGAUGCAUAGCCGACCUGAGAGGGUGAUCGGCCACACUGGAACUGAGACACGGUCCAGACUCCUACGGGAGGCAGCAGUAGGGAAUCUUCCGCAAUGGGCGAAAGCCUGACGGAGCAACGCCGCGUGAGUGAUGAAGGUCUUCGGAUCGUAAAACUCUGUUAUUAGGGAAGAACAUAUGUGUAAGUAACUGUGCACAUCUUGACGGUACCUAAUCAGAAAGCCACGGCUAACUACGUG
rnacentral:rRNA from 1 species